GUACCUUUGCCACACAUACAGAUGUAAUAAACUGUAUAUUAAAUGGAUUUUUGAAACAGGGAGCUGGAAUAGGAGCUUGCUCCAUCCACUCUAUGCAUCAACCUGGUAUUGCAGUGCUUCCAGGAAUGGUGCACCUCCC
ensembl:snRNA U2 U2 spliceosomal RNA